rnacentral:rRNA from 1 species
UUCCGGUUGAUCCUGCCGGACCUGACUGCUAUCGGAUUGAUACUAAGCCAUGCGAGUCAUUGUAGCAAUACAAGGCAUACGGCUCAGUAACGCGUAGUCAACCUAACCUAUGGACGGGAAUAACCUCGGGAAACUGAGAAUAAUGCCCGAUAGAACACUAUACCUGGAAUGGUUUGUGUUCCAAAUGAUUUAUCGCCAUAGGAUGGGACUGCGGCCUAUCAGUUUGUUGGUGAGGUAAUGGCCCACCAAGACUAUUACAGGUACGGGCUCUGAGAGGAGUAGCCCGGAGAUGGGUACUGAGACACGGACCCAGGCCCUAUGGGGCGCAGCAGGCGAGAAAACUUUGCAAUGUGCGAAAGCACGACAAGGUUAAUCCGAGUGAUUUGUGCUAAACGAAUCUUUUGUUAGUCCUAGAAACACUAACGAAUAAGGGGUGGGCAAGUUCUGGUGUCAGCCGCCGCGGUAAAACCAGCACCUCAAGUGGUCAGGAUGAUUAUUGGGCCUAAAGCAUCCGUAGCCGGCUCUGUAAGUUUUCGGUUAAAUCUGUACGCUUAACGUACAGGCUGCCGGGAAUACUGCAAAGCUAGGGAGUGGGAGAGGUAGACGGUACUCGGUAGGAAGUGGUAAAAUGCUUUGAUCUAUCGAUGACCACCUGUGGCGAAGGCGGUCUACUAGAACACGUCCGACGGUGAGGGAUGAAAGCUGGGGGAGCAAACCGGAUUAGAUACCCGGGUAGUCCCAGCUGUAAACUAUGCAAACUCAGUGAUGCAUUGGCUUGUGGCCAAUGCAGUGCUGCAGGGAAGCCGUUAAGUUUGCCGCCUGGGAAGUACGUACGCAAGUAUGAAACUUAAAGGAAUUGGCGGGGGAGCACCACAAGGGGUGAAGCCUGCGGUUCAAUUGGAGUCAACGCCGGG